CAAGGUGUGGCUAAAUAGUAAAGCACCUCCCUUACACCGAGAAGAUAUCUGUGCAAUUCAGAUCCCCUUGA
rnacentral:tRNA from 1 species